UUUAACCUACGGGAGGCAGCAGUGGGGAAUAUUGCACAAUGGGGGAAACCCUGAUGCAGCGACGCCGCGUGGGUGACGAAGUAUUUCGGUAUGUAAAGCCCUAUCAGCAGGGAAGAAGAUGACAGUACCUGACUAAGAAGCCCCGGCUAACUACGUGCCAGCAGCCGCGGUAAUACGUAGGGGGCAAGCGUUAUCCGGAUUUACUGGGUGUAAAGGGAGCGUAGACGGUUAUGCAAGUCUGAAGUGAAAGCCCAAGGCUCAACCAUGGGACUGCUUUGUAAACUGUAAAACUGGAGUGCAGGAGG
rnacentral:rRNA from 1 species